rnacentral:tRNA from 1 species
GGUGAGAUGGCCGAGCGGUUAAGGCGCUACGUUGAGGCCGUAGUCCGAAAGGGCGUGGGUUCGAAUCCCACUCUCAUCA